rnacentral:rRNA from 1 species
UCCGUAGGUGAACCUGCGGAAGGAUCAUUAAAAUAAGUGCUCUUUAACUUUUAGUUAAGAGACUACACCACUAUCCCAUCUCAUUCUUAAACUAAAAUUUAAGGAGUAGAUGUGGCUAUUGUGUCCACCCAAUUGUGAAACUUCAAUUUUGCUUCGGCAGCACUCUUAGUGGGCAACCGCUAGAGGGGUAAGGCUGUCAGAGGCCCAUAUCAAAACCAGUUGAUGAAAUGUCAUGCUGUCUGAUAUCAUACUAUUUUUGAGAAAUCAAAUUAUAUUAAAACUUUCAGCAACGGAUCUCUUGGUUCUCGCAUCGAUGAAGAACGCAGCGAAACGCGAUAGGUAAUGUGAAUUGCAGAAUUCCGUGAAUCAUCGAAUCUUUGAACGCACAUUGCGCCUGCUGGUAUUCCGGUAGGCAUGCCUGUUUGAGCGUCAGCAAAAACCUCUCAACAGUUUUAUUAUUGUUGGUUAUGGGCUGCGGAGGACUAGCUAUUAUGGCUGCUCCCGCCUUAAACUUGCUGCACGACCGGCAAGCUUAUGGCUAGGGGUUUAUUGGGGAGGUGGGGGUGGUUUACAUUUAUUCCUACAACCAUUCAUAGGCUUGGGGUGGGGCGGUUAAAUUG